AUUGAACGCUGGCGGCAGGCCUAACACAUGCAAGUCGAACGAGUGGCGGACGGGUGAGUAAUGUCUGGGAAACUGCCUGAUGGAGGGGGAUAACUACUGGAAACGGUAGCUAAUACCGCAUACCAUCAGAUGUGCCCAGAUGGGAUUAGCUAGUUGGUGGGGUAACGGCUCACCAAGGCGACGAUCCCUAGCUGGUCUGAGAGGAUGACCAGCCACACUGGAACGGAGACACGGUCCAGACUCUUACGGGAGGCAGCAGUGGGGAAUAUUGCAAAAGGGGCGAGAGCCUGAUGCAGCCAUGCCGCGUGUAUGAAGAAGGCCUGCGGGUUGAAAAGUUCUUUCAGGGGGGAGGCGUUCCCCGAAGAAGAAGCCCCGGCUAACUCCGUGCCAGCAGCCGCGGUAAUAC
rnacentral:rRNA from 1 species